CACUCGGGACGAAGAUGGCGGUCGGUGGUCACAUGUUAUGAUUCACCAAGGCUGAAAUAAACAGUUUACUGAAAUGAGGGUAACGCCUUAAAAUGUGGCAUCCUUGAAGCUGUUAGUAGUGAUAUUUUAUUCUUGUAGUUUCAAGAAAACGAAACUGAGUAUCAUUCGGAAGUGAGUGAUAGCGUCAUAGGUUAUUUGAAACUGCGCAAAAUCUGGUGUACCAUACCACGUAAACAGUUCUCAUCGACAACGAACAAAAUUAACAAACAUUGUGUGCGGAUAGUUUAUUGAUUCUUUGCAGAGGGAGUGAAACAUAACAUCGGGUGUUUAGGGUUUACCACUAGUUACAGGAUCGAAAAUCACUGUUCACUACGAAUCUCAUAACGACGGAAAUGCGGAUGCAGUACUGCUACGCCAGCAUAAUUUCACUUUAUAGGUGGAAGUAGAAUCAAAAAAUGCCGAUUUUGUAGCAGAGGUGUGACAUAAAUUUUUGAUACUAGCUACACAGAAACAUCGCUUAGUACAUUAACAUGCGACUGAUAUUUAAAUACUCAGUAUAGCGGUACAUCCCCAAAUAACACACAGUUGUGAUAAGGACUACCUUCUGAUCAGACUUGCUGUACAUGAAUCAACUUUGCUCCAGAACUAUCAGUACAUGCAUAUUGUUUUUAUGGGACAUGAUUGUUGUUACCACAAUACUAAGUACGAGUGCCUUGAGGUUGACAUACAAACUAUGUUUACUUUAAUGUUUUAUAGAUAUUACUUAACGACAAACACUGAUAUUGAGUAAUUGAAUUCACAUUUUGCAUACAGUUACAUGGGUAAACAAUAGUCUUUGAGUCUGCACAUUUUGUCACACAAGUAAUUGCUUUAGGGAAACAACUUAUGCCCCAUGUUAAACACCGCAACGAAGAUUUUGGCGGAGGGUGGCAGCGGUGGGCGGGCUUUCCACUAUCACACUGAGCCCAAAUUUAUCUGGGUAGAAGACCAAAUAGCAGUAUGAAUACUGAUGUACUCCUUUCAGAGCUGAAGCCGGGUUCUUAAAUUAGAGACACUGAUCAUUAGUAGUUGGUCUGUAACAAACAGAAGAUGCGUACGCAGUACUUACUAUUACCAAACCCAUGCUGACUCGAGCGUCAUUGUCAAAGAUGUGGAAAACAUGUUAAUGAUAGCAUGUAACAUCAGCAUGAGGUGACAAAUUGCAGAGGCGAGGCUAUAGUUUGACAUCACUUUUAUUAAUAUAACUUGAUGUAUGCCAUCCCAUAUUUUAUAGUCAAAAUAUGAUAAAAAAAAAACAGUGGAACUGAAAAUUAUAAACUCUUGGAAAUAAAUCAUUCAAGAUCUUUUGCAGAAACUUGAGUUCUGUUUCUUCAACCAUAAGAAUAAUGUUCACUGAUAUUUGGAAACUUAUUUAUUUUCACUGUGUUUUGAAGUGUAAUAAUUUUUGGAGCAGCUCUCUUGCUGCAGAUUCUUAAAAUAUAUCUUCAAAUUGACUGUAAAAAUUGUUGACAUUUGUCUAGACUGUUUUUGAUUCAUUUAAGGAUUUUAAGUCUGCGCACACUACACUAAUUGUGAUUAAGGAAUUGAAACAUUCAUUCAGUGAACACUACAAAACAGAGAGAGAGAGAGAGAGAGAGAGAGAGAGAGAGAGAGAGAGAGAGAGAGAGAGAGAGAGAAAAUCGCCUUUGGGCAGCACUUCAGUUAAAAUUUUACAGAAAUGUUUUGUGUUUUCCUGUUUAUUACAUUUUCAACAGGCUUUCAACAGGCCUGGAAAAUGUGAGUAAUAAAUCCCAGAUUUUCUAAUCUAAUGAUUGCUUGUGAGUAACAUUUAUUCUGGCAUCAAAAUCUUGGAUCACUUAUCUAAAGAUGUAAAUUGUAGACAGAUAUCAAAUCUAAAUUUGAAUGUGAGGUUUUAAUGAGUAUUCUGGGCUACUCCUAUUCCAAAAAUAAUUACAAUUGUGAAACUACUUUUCUCACCAGAGUGGUUGGUUUGGUUGGUUGGCACCAUUUUUCUUUCCUCAGCCUUUAAACAGGUGCCAGUAUUUAUCUGGGUUUUUUUAUGCACAAAGAGAUGGGGUUGACUGACCUGUACUAACCUUCAUGAAAGGCAACACUGAGUACAGUACAUAGAAACAACAAAAUAAAUAUUACCACAAGUUCUUCCCUCCUCCUUAGCAUAGGUUUUGAUUGCUCUCUCUAUCCCCUGCCCUCCUCAUCCUUGUCCUCAGUUUCCCCCAUCCAGUUUCUCCUAACCAUUUCCUCUUUUCUCCCUUGAAGAUGGAACAUGUGAUUCAGAAUUUACAUUUGCUGUUAGUUAUUUUCUUACUAUUUGCUGUACUGGGAAUUGCAACUCAUGAACAUCUAGCAGUCUCAUUCAAAAUUUAACAAAUUUCUGAGUAGAAAUUUUAUUUUUGUACAGUUAACUAUUGUUUUGUCAAUUUUUUCAUACUAAUUUAAACACCAUUAGAUAAAUGUGUGUGGCCCUUACUACUUGUACACACAGUAUUGAAAAUAACAUCCCAGCUGUCAGUUAGGGAAAAAAGCCAUUUGCUCUGAAUAUAACUUGUAGCGUAUGUAAUUUAACUGAAACAAUUUGCCAACUUCUUGUCAGGUUGGCAUAUGUAAGUGUUGGCCCCCUCAUAGUAUGUAUAAUUUAAUCAAUGUUAUCAUUGCACUAUUGUGAUGGCAUUUGAUGUGUAUCAUGGCACAUUUUCCACUGUGAGUGCAUGUGGAUAUAAGGUAACUAGCAAAACACAUUUCUAACAUAAGCAGAACUAGUGUGAUUGUAUGUGGUGUUCUUUUGUAAUCAGGCAGUUAUUUUCGCAACAAAUCAGUUACAUAUGAAUAAAUGUGAAAACAAUCUUGAACUAAACAUGUAGCAAAAAUAGAAAGAAAAACACAGAAUGAAAAUUAAAAUAAUGUUUCCAUUUAUUUCUUCUUCUUCUUUUUAACAUACAUGUACCAGCUGUUACUUAUGGCCUACAUCUACAUAACAAACAGCACCACAUGUGACAAAUGAGGAGCUGCCUCACUCUUAUCAUCACAUAAAAUUUGUGGCAUUUCUUAUAGUAUACCUGUGCAGACCCUGCUACAUCCAGUCAGAAAAGAUUAUCUUCUCUUCCUAAUUCUCUCCUCCAAAAACCAAGGGAAACAACUUACUACAAAAUCAGUCUUCUUAUUAGUCAGUCACAUUCCACUGCAUAGAAAGAGUUAGAUUUAUCAUUAAAAUCAUAUCAAAUAUGUCAAAGGGCCAGGCUUACUAGAAUCAAACAAGAAACAGUACCCCCUCCCUCGUGUAAUCGUAAAGGGUAUUUCUCUAACUCCUGCCUUUCUUAUAAUAUUAAUGAGAGGGGGGGGGGGGGGGGGCUACAGUUGUAAUGGCUCAAGGCUUUGAUUUCACUGUUCAUAUCAUUAUUUCAAUUUGUUGUUGAUUUCUGCUUGUAAGCACAGCCCUUUUAUCUCUUAAAUUACUGUUUGUAACUUAAUUUACAACAUUCAAACAUGAAUUUUAUUAAAGUUUGUAUUAACCAUUAAGAUGCUAAACUGAAAGCCAACAUGAUGAUGAAUAUUCUUUAGCAGCUGCAAACUGCUUUUUGACUUUGAAAUUUUAAGGAAAGUGUUGAAACCUGGGUCAAACAAGGGCUGCGGUGCUUUCACAUUGUAGCAGUUCAUGUAAUAAAUAGAAGCUGUGUAGGAACCAUAACUGUUUUGGUAAAGGGAGGAAAAUACUAGAAAUAAACUUGCCAUGGCAAGGUCUCUCUCUCUCUCUCUCUCUCUCUCUCUCUCUCUCUCUCUCUCUCUCUCUCUCUCUCUCCCCCCCCCCCCCCCCCCCC